rnacentral:lncRNA from 1 species
AUGAGACAUCAAUCAAAUAUAUUUAAGCAAUACAUUCCUUUGGUCCAGAAAGAUGGAGUGUCACUCUUUUGCCCAGACUGGGGUGGCACAAUCUCAGCUCACAUCUACCUCUGCCUCCUAGGUUCAAGCCAUUCUCCUGCUUCAGUCCCCCAGUGAAAGAAUUGGCUCCUAGAGAUGAAGUAAUUACAGACAAUCAGAAAUAAAAGAGAACCCAAGAGACUGUCCUAAAAGAGCCUGUCAUUGGAGUGAUGGAGAAACUGAGGUUCACACGUGGAAGCAGCAACUUGGCAAAAAUUAUACAUUCUCAUCAUUGGAAGUAAGUUUUCUUGACUUCUAAAUGUGCAUACCACAUAGAAUUACAGGUGCUUCUUAUGGGAACCCAAAUUUCUUUUUCCUGUUUCAAUGACUUUUGCUUCUGGGCAAAAGCAGUGAAGUCAGAAGCAAUAUCAAUUAGUCAUAUUUGUAAUCUGCCCUGAGCCAAGUAGCAGGGGUUGAGCACAUUCAACAGUGAUUUACCCCAAGGUCUAGGUUGCCAUCUCUCAGCUGUCACAUCAACUCAUGGGAGAUCCCUUGUUCCUAUGUCUCCAUUCUGGCUGUGCCUCCUGUGCCUUUGGCUUCACCCUCACUGAUUUCAGGAAGACAAAAAUUGGGUAAACGUCCUUCUUGAAAGAUGCAAUUUUGCAGGUUGGGGGCUAGAAAAGUUCUUAAUAAAGGCUAGAAUUAAUUAAAAGAGAAGGUCAAGAGGGUUUAACUACCUAGUGCUCUGUAGGGACAACAGGUCACACAUGAGUGACUGGUAUUGAUUAAGCAUUUUGAUUGCCUGCUUAGAC